CGGGGAGCUGGAGAGGAAUCCGGCUGAGAGGAACCGUAUGCGGUUCGACCCGAGAACCUGAUUUGGGCAAUUCCAACGGAGGGA
rnacentral:ncRNA from 1 species